GUAGGUUGAUUACAACAAAUAUCAACUUCUGUAGAGGAGAAAUAAGCUAAAAAAACCUUAAUCACGAAAACUUACUGGGAUGCUUUGCUUCACCUUGAGUCUUGAGAUUUCUACUAUUUUUGCCUGCAUUCUCACAGCGAUUCAGGGACUCGUCAGUUCAAGUUUGGGAAUCAGAAUACUCAAUGAUAUCAUAUCAUUUGAGCAGAACUUAGCAUUUUUGUUCAUUGACUUCAUUACACCGUUUUGGAAAACCAACACUCUUUCAAUUUUGGAUGAUAUUAACAACUAUAGUAGUUUUGGGAGGAAUCGCAGCAUAUUGUUUUUAUAUUUAUCAGUUUGUUGUGAUUUUGAAGUCUACUGAAUGUGUAGGUAGUUUUGACGUGAGAAAAGGUCUACUAAAAAUCUUUACUGACCGAAUCCUGAAACUGUUGCAAGUUUUUUUUUCUCCGUUUUUAUUACUUUCUACUAUAAUUAAUAUUGUUCUUAUCAAUAAAGUCAGUAACAGGCAUCUAGAAGUAAAACUUCGACCUACUAAUACCACAGUUGCACCGAUUCCAGCAAAUAGAAAUGCAUCCACAGAAACUAGAAUUCUGGUUUUGCCGGCCCAAAUACAAUAAAUAUCGCAGUCACAGUACCUCAGGAAACGUAUGUAUGUAAAUCCUACGUUUCCCCCCCUUUCUUACAAUGUUCAAAAUUAAUAUGGAGGAAUAUAUCUUGAGUAUGUGUUUAACUACGGUUAAAAGAAGAACGUCAUUGUGAUUUCCUGUUUUACUGCUGAUCGAAUUGACCGAAGAGUUUUGGAUUUCAUUUUCUUAUAUUUUCUUUACUCUCUGUAAUUUUUUCUUUAUGUAUAUAUAUAAAUUAUUAUCUUUAAAUGUUUGUUUGUAAUUAAGCACAAAGCUACACAAAGGGCUAUCUGUGCUCUGCCCACCGCGGGUAUCGAAACCCGGUUUCUAGCGUUGUAAGCCCACAGACAUACCGCUGUGCCACUGGGGGCUCUUUAAAGUGUCGACACUGUGAGAAAGAAAAGAACGUUAUACAAAACGUUUAAAGUAAUUUAGAGCUUUACUUUAUACUAACAGAAUUAAACUAAAUUGUGCUUCCUUAAGGAUGGGAACUAUGUGUGGCCCAGUAUUUAGCGUAUCGGACUGUGUGAACUAAAUUUUGCUUCCUUAAAGAAGAGGGUCAAGUGUGGCCCAGUGUUUAGCAUAUUGGACUAUGUAAACUAAAUUUUGCUUCCUUAAAGAAGAGGACCGAGUGUAGCCUAAUGUUUAGCGUAUCGGAUUCUGUGAACUAAAUUAUGAUUCCUUAAAGAUGAGGGCCUAGUGUCGGACUGUGGAUAUGCUGAUUCAUCGUCCUGUUACAGCAAAUAAUAAAAAUAAAAGUCGCACUCCACACUUUGGGUGCUUUAUAAGGUGAGAUCUCAUUAUUCGGUCAGACAAGAGUAUCCAAAGAGUUGUUGGUGGGUAAUGUUGACUACUUUCUUCCCUCUUGUCUAUCAAUUCAAAAUUAAGGACGGCUAUAACAGAUAGCCCUUGAAUAGCUUUACGCCAUAUCUUGAAAUAAACUUAAAGAAGAGUUCUGAAAGGCUGUUUUUACGAUUUUUAAAUUUAAUUGUGUUCGGACAAAAAGUUAGCCUAAAUCGCAUAUUAUAACUACGACUUUCUGUAUAUAUAUAUAACAGUCUUCUUAGACUGUAAAGUUGCAAGAUUCCGCCAACGUUUCGACUUUAUUAGCAUACACAUUUCUUCAUUAAACUCCAAAGGAUAGAUCAUAUAGUGGAUUUUCAUUCGGCAUACCAGUUUAAAUUCCGCUUUGAAUCGUUUUCCCUUUUUAUUGUUACUAGCCACAAUAAUAUCAAACAAAACAUGUUUGAAGUGUGACGCAACGUUAUAACAUUUCUACAUUUUGCUUAGAAUUUAUUACAA
rnacentral:misc_RNA from 1 species